UAGACAGGCGAGUUUACGACUUCUAGCCAUGAUGAAGUCGUNGCAUACGGCUCAGUAACACGUGGCUAACCUACCCUUGAGACGGAGACAACCCCGGGAAACUGGGGCUAAUCCCAGAUAGAUGAGAACUCCUGGAACGGGUUNUCGUCCAAAAAGCAUCAAGAUCAUGCUUCUUGGUGUUGCUCAAGGAUGGGGCCGCGACCGAUCAGGCUGUUGGUGAGGUAACGGCUCACCAAACCUUUAACCGGUACGGGCCGUGGGAGCGGGAGCCCGGAGAUGGGAACUGAGACAAGGUCCCAGGCCCUACGGGGCGCAGCCGUUGCGAAAACUUGUCAAUGCACGAAAGUGUGAACAGGCUACCCCGAGUGCUGUCCGCUGAGGAUGGCUUUUCUCUGCUGUUAAAAGGCGGGGGAAUAAGCGGGGGGCA
rnacentral:rRNA from 1 species